rnacentral:misc_RNA from 1 species
CAGAGUUGCAAAACUCCCACAAACCAUCGCGAAUCUUACCCGUACGGUUGCCUCUGCGCUGGCGGUCCGGAAGGCCCUCGGGCCCCCCGGAUCCUCGGGUCUCCCGCUCGCGGGAGGCUGCCCGCCGGAGUGCCGAAACCAAACUCUUGAUAUUUUAUGUCUCUCUGAGUAAACUUUUAAAUAAGUCA